GACGAACGCUGGCGGCGUGCUUAACACAUGCAAGUCGAACGGUGAAACGCCGUCCUUUUUGGUGGGAGUGGAUGAGUGGCGAACGGGUUAGUAACACGUGAGUAACCUGCCCCCUUCUGCUGGAUAACCGCAUGAAAGAGUGGCUAAUACGGGAUAUUCUGAGUCUGUCGCAUGAUUGGUCUGAGAAAGAUAUGGUUUCGGUUAGGGAUGGGCUCGCGGCCUAUCAGCUUGUUGGUAGGGUGAUGGCCUACCAAGGCGAUGACGAGUAGCCGGCCUGAGAGGGUGGACGGCACCACAGGGACUGAGAGACGGCGACGCCUACGACGGGAGGCAGUAGUGAGGAAUCUUGCACAAUGGGAGGAAGGCUGAUGCAGCGCCGCCGCGUGAGUGAUGGACGCCUUCGGGUUGUGAACCUUUUUCGCGAGUGAAGCAGGCCGGCAUCGUCUGUGCGUGUGUUGACGGUAGCUGGAUAAGAAGCGACGGCUAACUACGUG
rnacentral:rRNA from 1 species